AGAAUUCUAUUCCUGAUUUCCUUACCAGAGAAUUUCUACAGGGAAAACAAUGGCAGAAAGAAGAAAAGAAAGAGAAAAAGAUGAUAAACAAAAAAGUCAAAUUGGUCAAUCAAGCCAACCCAGUCAACCCCAGUCACUCCGAGCCCUCACAUCAUCAAUGAGUCAAGCUAAAUAUGAGCCUCCUUCCCAGAUCAUCCCCUUCCCGGGAUGCUCUCCUAUCCAAAUCAGUAACAGGUUUGCCAACCUAGGAGCCACAGUCGGC
rnacentral:lncRNA from 1 species